rnacentral:rRNA from 1 species
GAUGAACGCUGGCGGCGUGCUUAACACAUGCAAGUCGAACGGUGAACGAGGGAGCUUGCUCCCUCCGGAUCAGUGGCGAACGGGUGAGUAACACGUGAGCAAUCUGCCCCGAACUCUGGGAUAAGCGCUGGAAACGGCGUCUAAUACCGGAUACGACGCGCGAAGGCAUCUUCUGCGCGUGGAAAGAAUUUCGGUUCGGGAUGAGCUCGCGGCCUAUCAGCUAGUUGGUGAGGUAACGGCUCACCAAGGCGACGACGGGUAGCCGGCCUGAGAGGGUGACCGGCCACACUGGGACUGAGACACGGCCCAGACUCCUACGGGAGGCAGCAGUGGGGAAUAUUGCACAAUGGGCGCAAGCCUGAUGCAGCAACGCCGCGCGAGUGAUGAAGGCCUUAGGGUUGUAAAGCUCUUUCACCCACGACGAUAAUGACGGUAGUGGGAGAAGAAGCGAAAGUGGCGGUACCUGCAGAAAAAGCACCGGCUAACUAC